UUUGCGAUGAUGAGGUGAAACACUGGACGUGUUUUGGGCAGUGGACAUGACCUCUAUUUGGGGUCUUGCCGUGAGCUCAUUCUUACAAAACGACUUCUCCUUCCACUGAGCUCC